rnacentral:rRNA from 1 species
GACGAACCGUGCGAACGUUGUUCGGAAUCACUGGGCUUAAAGGGUGCGUAGGUGGGCAGGUAAGUCAGUGGUGAAAUCUCUGGGCUUAACCCAGAAACUGCCGUUGAUACUAUCUGUCUUGAAUAUAGUGGAGGUGAGCGGAAUAUGUCAUGUAGCGGUGAAAUGCUUAGAUAUGACAUAGAACACCCAUUGCGAAGGCAGCUCGCUACACUAUUAUUGACACUGAGGCACGAAAGCGUGGGGAGCAAACAGG